UACAGGGGGUGCAAGCGUUGCUCGGAAUCACUGGGCGUAAAGCGUGCGCAGGCGGACCGUUAAGUCGGAUGUGAAAUCCCGGGGCUCAACCCCGGAACUGCAUUCGAAACUGGCGAUCUUGAGUGCGGCAGAGGUGAGUGGAAUUCCUGGUGUAGAGGUGAAAUUCGUAGAUAUCAGGAGGAACACCGGUGGCGAAAGCGGCUCACUGGGCCGACACUGACGCUCAUGCACGAAAGCGUGGGGAGCAAACAGG
rnacentral:rRNA from 1 species